AUAAGGAGAGGUCAGAACACAGAGACACACACAGGGAAGACGGCCAUGUGAUGAUGGAGGCAGAGAUUGAAGUGAUGCAGCCAUCUAGCCAAGGAACAACAAGGACUGCCAGUGGCCACUGAAGGCUAGGAGAGAGGAAGAGAAUAGAUUCUUCAGAAGGGAUCAGCCCUUCUGACACCUUGACUUUGGAAGUCUAACCUCUAGAAGUCACAUCACCACCUUCUGCUAGCUAUGCAAUGCUCUCCAUCCUACAGGACUCACAUCCAGGAAGCUUGGAAUAUUAAAAACAAAUGUGAAAUAUAUGAAAAAGGAAUAAG
rnacentral:lncRNA from 1 species